GAUGGUGAGGGCAGUCUGGCGGUGACAUCUGUUACCCUGUUGGUCUUCAGGAUUGAUUUGGCUGGCUACGUAAGUGGCUCUUCUCACCUUGUCACGUGCAUUUUUCCUAAAGUAUUGCCCUUGGCUAAAGAAGAUGUCCUAUUUAGAUCACAGAGGGCUAUUCUUUAUUUAAGGUAUCUGAAUUAGAAUCUUAUAGCCAAGGUUCAUAAUUAUACAGUUUUCUGAGGGGUAGUCUAUUUUAGGCAGUAGCUACUUUAUACUAAAUUAAGCCUAUUUGAAAUAGGCAGCCCAUUUUU
ensembl:misc_RNA 7SK 7SK RNA